CUAGCAUUAAAAAAAAUAAGGGAAAAACUCAAAAUGUGUCCCAUACGCACAUACAUCAGGACUCAAACAGUCAUAAAGAAAAGUGCAAACCGAAUUCAAAGCAAAUACAAAGCAAAAAAGAAAAAUAAAGAAAGAACAAAAAAAAAAGAAUCCCGAUCAUUAGAACUAGUUUCUCCCAAAAAACUCAAAACAAAGAACUAGCUAAAACUCUCCAAUCUCUGGAAACUAAGAAUGCAUGAAGCCGUGAUCAACAAAACCUAGUAGAGAGUGGAGCUUCAGUGUCAUCAUCGUAGUAAAGUAUAAAAUUUCCCAUGAACCAAAGCCAAAACAACCUAGGGCAGAGAGGAACAGUUCGACCUAUCUAUCUCCACGACUCACUCCACCAUCUCCGGUGCUUCCUCAAUUCAGAAUCGUUGACGACACCCCUCAUUGGCCAAGGUAUGAGCUGCAGUAUUUGCUUCUCUCUUAACAUAAUGGAAAGUAAUCUGCUCAAAAAAACCUAACAUGUGUUUGAUAUCAGCUAUAAUUGGACAGAGAAAUGAUCUAUCAUCCGUGCUUGUAUGUAUUUCUUUAUAAUCGUCAAUGAAUCCUCCUCAAUCUGGACGUGGCGGAAACCAAUCUCCUGCGUAAACCGAAU
rnacentral:lncRNA from 1 species